rnacentral:tRNA from 1 species
GCAUCAGUGGUCUAACGGUUAUGAUCCGGUCUUCCCAUUUGCAUUAUUGCAUUCCGUUUGGCCGGGAAAGGGGUUCGACUCCCCUCUGAUGCA